rnacentral:rRNA from 1 species
GACAGAGGGUGCAAACGUUGUUCGGAAUUACUGGGCGUAAAGCGCGUGUAGGCGGCUAAGUAAGUCGGGCGUGAAAUCCCGCGGCUCAACCGUGGAAGUGCACUCGAAACUGCAUAGCUAGAGUCCUGGAGAGGAAGGUGGAAUGCUUGGUGUAGAGGUGAAAUUCGUAGAUAUCAAGCGGAACACCGGUGGCGAAGGCGGCCUUCUGGACAGUGACUGACGCUGAGACGCGAAAGCGUGGGGAGCAAACAGG